rnacentral:rRNA from 1 species
GACGAACGCUGGCGGCGUGCUUAAUACAUGCAAGUCGAACGGUAAGGCCUUGUUUUUGUGGGGUGCUCGUGUGGCGAACAGGUGUGUAACACGUGUGUAACCUCCCCUUUACUUUGGGAUAACUUCAGUGAACUCGGGCUCAUACCCGAUAUGAGCUCCUGCUGCAUGGUUGGGGUUGUAAAGUUUCGGCGUUUGGGGAUGGACUCGCGGCUUAUCAGCUUGUUGGUGAGUUAGUGGCUUACCAAGGCUUUGACGGGUAGCCGGCUUGCGAGGGUGACCGGCCACAAAGGGACUGAGGUAGGGGCAAGAGGGAUACGGGAGGAAGCGAGGAGAGAUAUUGCGAAAUGGGCGGAAGGCUGAAGCAGCAACGUCGCGUGCGGAAUGACGGCCUUCGGGGAGGAAACCGGGUGAGACUGUGAAGAAGAGUGAGUGACGGUAAUGGGUAAAAAAGCAACGGCUAACUACGUG